GACCAAGAGAAUUUCUCGUUCGAGACGUCUUGAACUGCUUAAGCCCUGCUUAAGUCUCCGUUAAGUCCCUCCUGUCACCGAAUCAGCUGCAGCUCUCGACGUGAAAAUAAGAUCAAGAAAAGACAGCAGGGGAUGUACGUCUGCAUUCAUCCAAUGCCGAUCAGCCGGGGGCGAUACUAGGCAGAGCUGGCGGCUGCUAGACUCCGUGGUGCCGAGCCAAGAUGCCUACACGGUCUCUCUGGAGUUUACCGACCUGCAAUCACAAAAAUCGGGCCAGCAACAAAACGUGAUUUGAAGAAAGUUUGACUGACCUACAUGGUAACCAUGGUAAACAUCACGUGACUUGUGUUGAUAUGGAAGGAGGUUUGAUCAGGCUUUCAUCUCUAGUGUACGCGAUACCGGAGUCAGGAGAGGUGAUGAUAGAAGCUCACCGGGAUCGUGGGUCCGGUUUGGCGGGCUACAAACCCAAGACAAUACCCCGUGGACGAAGAUGGGAUUAAGAAAGACCCUCUUUAUCAGGCCGCCCCGCCUCUGGACUUCUGGUCUGCCCUGUACCUCUUGCCUUCUCCACCCUCUCUUCAUCUCCUUUUUCAUUUUCUCUAUGAAUAGGAGCUCAAGUCGCCUUCCUCCCAGACUGAUUGGGCUGAUAGUAGGGCAAAGAUGAUGACAUACGAAAUUUGGAGGUGGAGUAAAAGAGCUGUGCAAUCCAGGGAUAGCCACUCCUCCCCAAAAAAAGAGAAGAAAACCCUAAACAACAACGAUAAUCGAAUACUUCCUUAUACCAUGUAUACGUAGCUUUAAGACAUAAUUAGCUUACCAGAAUAAACCAUCCUCCAAAACAAAAGUAGAUUUGAAUAAGACGAGAACAAUCCAACGAG